AGAGAAGGCCUUUCAGGCAUCCUCUCCUAAAACUUUCAGGCCGGUCCCUAUGGGAUCGGCCUUUUUUUGCGCCAUG
rnacentral:sRNA from 1 species